ensembl:lncRNA
ACACACACACACACACACACACACACACUCACACACACACGUGUAAUAAGAUCUCCUUAAGCUUCAUAUUUUAUUCGUGUGGAAUUUAGAAUCGACCAAUGACAGCGGCGAUGGCUUUUGACGUCACUUCAUCAGGAAGUAAACAACAAUGGCUGUACGUUGUACUAAUAAGUUGCACUACUCGUUUUUAUUCGUAUUUGUAUUGGUGUGUGUUUUGUUUGGAAAGUCGGCCAGCUCUUUGACUUCAGAUAAACCUGGACAUGGUGAAUUCAAACAUUUCCGAAGUUUUCGAAGUGUUUCAGAGCCUACAGCUCCACCACCAGGGGUCAGGCUGCACCCCGGUGUCGUCGCCUCCGUCGUAAUCGUCGCAACUGCUGCAAUAGUGGCUGCAUUUUUUAUUAUUAGGAAAUACUGUUUCCCGCAGAGUGAUGCCACAUACAGAUACUCUGUGCUGAGGCGGAUGGAGGAGCAGAGAGAGGAAGAAUCUGAUGAGGUGAUGAAUUUUGCCUACUUUACUGAUUGAGAUCAGGAGGAACUACAGGUUCAGUUCUACUCUACAUGCUAAUUCUGUGUCUGUGUUUAUUUCUCUUAGGAUCUUUUGGAAUGAAACCAGGCGUGAUGUGGAAUUAUUAUUAGUAUAAAAAAAACAAUAAUAAUUCUCAGGAUUUUCUUCAGAAACAGUUUGUCCUUUUCAGCCCCAUCUUCCUUCUGUCCUUAGUUUUAAUGCCAAAACUAUUAUGGGUUUUUAAAGGUCACAUGGUGCUGGUUAAUGUUGUAAAUGUGAAUGGCAAGAUUAUUUAUUAAGAACUGCCUUCAGGAUCCAGAGUGAAGCGAUCAAAAAGUUUGGAACUGUGAAACACAGCCAAUGAGUCUGAGAUUUUAUUUAUUUUGUUGUUGUUAUUGUUUGUUACAGGAAAAUACAACCCACUAUUUUCAAUGUUACUCUAAUUUUUGAGUUUUAAUGGGUUGAGAAUAUGUUUGAUCUAAACCUUAACAACUCAAAAGCAACCGAACAUAACCUAACUUGAACCUAAUGUGUCCUGUUGGUGGAAAUUUCAGGAAUUAAAAGCUACAUGGCUCUGAUAAAUGGUCCAAAUAAGAUUGUACAUGUUUAAAUAAUAAGUCUAAUAUUUGACUAGUUGGAUCUUGUUUAAAUAAAUCUGAACUAAGGGGGUCCAUGGAAUUUAUUAAAGUUAAAGGGGUUCUUGGCUGCAAAAAGUUUGAGAACCUCAGCACUACAGUAUAACACAAUAAUUAAAUGGGCUUUGUCACUAUCCUUAAUCUGUAUUCCCACUAAUUAUAAGGAAUUUUAUGCUGAAAGUUUUUCCUCAUUGCUUAUUGUGUGUAGUGUAGGUAAAACAUUGCAUUUUUUUCACAUUAAGAUUUAUGGGCAAUUGUCUAAUCAGGUGACUCCCCUUGGGCUUUUGCGCAUAUUUGCUUUAGUUAAGGAUUUUGUAUUUCUUUCAGUUUUUCUAAAUGUGAGUAGGGGUUACAUAUGUGUUUGGUCUACCAGUAUGGUUAGCACAUUUUCCUCGCACCUUUGGGGUGCCAGGAAAUCCCCGCCUCUGCCCUGUGCAUGCAGAGCUGGCAUGUUCUCCCCAUGCUUCAGGGGUUUCCUCUGGGUACUCUGGUUUCUUCCCCCAGUCCAAAGACAUGCACUAUAUGUUGAUUGGCAUUUCCAAAUUGUCCUUAGUGUGUGAAUGGGUGUGUGCGAUUGUGCCCUGUGAUGAGUUGGCACCCUGUCCAGGGUGUCCCCCUGCCUUGUGCCCCGAGUUCCCUGGGAUAGACUCCAGGAUCAGCCUUGUGUAGCAUAAGUGGUACAGAAAUUGGAUGGAUGUUAAAUCAGUCUUGGGUUAACGUAUAUUGUUAGAUAAGUUAAACAAGGUUCUUUCUGUGUCAUUUUGUGUUGUAAUUGUUUUGUUUUGCUGCCUGAGAAUGUGAGUAGAUUUCCUUGUUAGAUUUUGUUGACUGUGUGAUUUAUGUAGUGCUUCAUUGUAUGAAUUGAUAUGUACCUCUGAAACACCUGAGAGAAAUUUUAUGACCUGAAAUUGUUUGAGUAAUUGCUGAAAAUUCACCACUCAGGAUUAAAGUUAUUUCAAACCCCAUUGUUUAUUUGACUCACAUUUAGUCAUGUCUGUCUGUCUGUCUGUCUGUCUGUGUCUGUGUGUGUGUCUCUCUCUCUCUCUCUGCGUGCAUGUGCAGUGCAGUGGAAGAGCAAGCGUGACGUGUAGAGCGCGUGAGAGCAGUUUGGCGUCUUCUCAAAGUUUUCUGCGACAUUGUCUUUUUGCUUUUGUUUCAUUUAAUUAUUGAAUGUUUAAGUUAUGUAAGUAGCAGUAGCCGGUAAAAGUUGAGAGCGGGUGGGAGUGAGCGGGCGUCCCGCUCUCUGAGGCCGGAGGGGAGACGCUGUCUCUCCGCCAUGGCGUCAGGUGUGUGCCGGAGGAUGGAGAACAGGUGGAGGAGGUUCUGCUAGCGGUGGGAGAGCAGGUCCGGUGGGAGAGCAGAUGGACAAGGUGGUGGAAUCAUCCAAACAGCCACAGCACAGUGUUGUGAUGCAGGAGAACUUGUGCCCAGAGUGCAGCGCAGGAGCUACAGGAGAGGAACCGCUCACAGACAUGGAGGAGGAAGAGGUCAAUCCAGAUCAGCUAAAUACUUUUAACUUUUCAGAACAGCCUGAACAGCUUUACACCAUGGACCAGAUUAACCAGUUUUUAGAACUGACCAAAGGAAAAUGGAACAUCUCACUGACAGAUUAACUACUUUGUCAAAUCUGCACAACACGUAACAAGAAAUGAAAACCUGAACGUGCUGUCAACACGGAGACGCUUCAGACUGAGGACAUGGACAUCAGUUGCAAAAAAGGCCUUAAUAUAAAAAGGCCUGUUUACUUUCAC